UGGGGAAUUUUGGACAAUGGGCGAAAGCCUGAUCCAGCAAUGCCGCGUGUGUGAAGAAGGCCUUCGGGUUGUAAAGCACUUUUGUCCGGGAAAGAAAUCCUUGGCUCUAAUACAGUCGGGGGAUGACGGUACCGGAAGAAUAAGCACCGGGCUAACUACGUGCCAGCAGCCGCGGUAAUACGUAGGGUGCAAGCGUUAAUCGGAAUUACUGGGCGUAAAGCGUGCGCAGGCGGUUUGCUAAGACCGAUGUGAAAUCCCCGGGCUCAACCUGGGAACUGCAUUGGUGACUGGCAGGCUAGAGUAUGGCAGAGGGGGGUAGAAUUCCACGUNUAGCAGUGAAAUGCGUAGAGAUGUGGAGGAAUACCGAUGGCGAAGGCAGCCCCCUGGGCAAAUACUGGACGCUCAUGCACGAAAGCGUGGGGAGCAAACAGGAUUNGAUACCCUGGUAG
rnacentral:rRNA from 1 species